AACACGAAGUGGUUGAUGCCAUGCUUCCAAGAAAAGCUUCUAAGCUUCAGGUAACCAGGAACCGUACCCCAAACCGACACAGGUGGUUGGGUAGAGAAUACCAAGGCGCUUGAGAGAACUCGGGUGAAGGAACUAGGCAAAAUGGCACCGUAACUUCGGGAGAAGGUGCGCCGGUGAGGGUGAAGCAUUUACUGCGUAAGCCCACGCCGGUCGAAGAUACCAGGCCGCUGCGACUGUUUAUUAAAAACACAGCACUCUGCAAACACGAAAGUGGACGUAUAGGGUGUGACGCCUGCCCGGUGCCGGAAGGUUAAUUGAUGGGGUUAGCUAACGCGAAGCUCUUGAUCGAAGCCCCGGUAAACGGCGGCCGUAACUAUAACGGUCCUAAGGUAGCGAAAUUCCUUGUCGGGUAAGUUCCGACCUGCACGAAUGGCGUAACGAUGGCGGCGCUGUCUCCACCCGAGACUCAGUGAAAUUGAAAUCGCUGUGAAGAUGCAGUGUAUCCGCGGCUAGACGGAAAGACCCCGUGAACCUUUACUAUAGCUUUGCACUGGACUUUGAAUUUGCUUGUGUAGGAUAGGUGGGAGGCUUUGAAGCGUGGACGCCAGUUCGCGUGGAGCCAUCCUUGAAAUACCACCCUGGCAACUUUGAGGUUCUAACUCAGGUCCGUUAUCCGGAUCGAGGACAGUGUAUGGUGGGUAGUUUGACUGGGGCGGUCUCCUCCUAAAGAGUAACGGAGGAGUACGAAGGUGCGCUCAGACCGGUCGGAAAUCGGUCGUAGAGUAUAAAGGCAAAAGCGCGCUUGACUGCGAGACAGACACGUCGAGCAGGUACGAAAGUAGGUCUUAGUGAUCCGGUGGUUCUGUAUGGAAGGGCCAUCGCUCAACGGAUAAAAGGUACUCCGGGGAUAACAGGCUGAUACCGCCCAAGAGUUCAUAUCGACGGCGGUGUUUGGCACCUCGAUGUCGGCUCAUCACAUCCUGGGGCUGAAGCCGGUCCCAAGGGUAUGGCUGUUCGCCAUUUAAAGUGGUACGCGAGCUGGGUUUAGAACGUCGUGAGACAGUUCGGUCCCUAUCUGCCGUGGACGUUUGAGAUUUGAGAGGGGCUGCUCCUAGUACGAGAGGACCGGAGUGGACGAACCUCUGGUGUUCCGGUUGUCACGCCAGUGGCAUUGCCGGGUAGCUAUGUUCGGAA
rnacentral:rRNA from 1 species